UGGGGAAUUUUGCACAAUGGGGGCAACCCUGAUGCAGCGACGCCGCGUGAUUUAGAAGGCCUUCGGGUUGUAAAAAUCUUUUGUAUAGGAAGAAAAUGACAGUACUAUACGAAUAAGGUCCGGCUAAUUACGUGCCAGCAGCCGCGGUAAUACGUAAGGACCGAGCGUUGUCCGGAAUCAUUGGGCGUAAAGGGUACGUAGGCGGUUAAAAAAGUUAGAAGUGAAAGGCUAUAGCUCAACUAUAGUAAGCUUUUAAAACUGUUUAACUUGAGAGAUGGAAGGGAAAGUGGAAUUCCUAGUGUAGCGGUGAAAUGCGCAGCUAUUAGGAGGAAUCCCGGUGGCGACGGCGACUUUCUGGCCAUUAUCUGACGCUGAGGUACGAAAGCGUGGGUAGCAAACAGG
rnacentral:rRNA from 1 species